AGGCACAGCCCUGGCACCAGAGGGCUAAUCCAGAUCCUCAGUUCUUUGGGGUGGAAGAGGAAAAGCUACCAGAUCCUCAGGACUGAAUUCUUAAUCUUUGAGGCUGCAAGAAAACCCAAGCUGUUGUAGCAGAGCAUCUUAGGGACAUCUUUGCCCUCAGAUGGAUGGUGAAGGAAUAACUUUGACCUUUUUUGUGGCUUCAUUUGGUUU